GACGAACGCUGGCGGCGUUCUUAACACAUGCAAGUCGAACGAAGUGGCGAACGGGUGAGUAACGCGUAAUCAACCUGCCCUUCAGAGGGGGACAACAGUUGGAAACGACUGCUAAUACCGCAUACUGAAGGCGGGGAAUGCGUCUGAUUCGGUAGUUGGAGGGGUAACGGCCCACCAAGGCGAUGGUCAGUAGCCGGUCUGAGAGGAUGAACGGCCAAAAUGGGACUGAGACACGGCCCAGACUCCUAAGGGAGGCAGCAGUGGGGAAUCUUCCGCAAUGGACGAAAGUCUGACGGAGCAACGCCGCGUGAGUGAUGACGGCCUUCGGGUUGUAAAGCUCUGUUAAUCGGGACGCGGUACCGGAAGAGAAAGCACCGGCUAACUCCGUGCCAGCAGCCGCGGUAAUUC
rnacentral:rRNA from 1 species